CAUUAGCUAGAUAGGUGAAGUAACGGCCCACCAAGGCAAUGACGGGUAGGUGGUCUGAGAGGAUGGUCACCCACACUGGGACUGAGAUACUGCCCAGACUCCUACGGGAGGCUGCAGUCGAGAAUCUUCCGCAAUGGGCGAAAGCCUGACGGAGCAAUGCCGCGUGAAGGAUGAAGGUCUUUGGAUUGUAAACUUCUGUCACCGGGGAUGAAUAAUGACAGUACCCGGGGAGGAAGCACCGGCUAACUACGUGCCAGCAGCCGCGGUAAUACGUAGGGUGCGAGCGUUGUUCGGAAUUAUUGGGCGUAAAGGGUUCGUAGGAGGUUCAUUAAGAUUGGUGUGAAAUCCCAAGGCUCAACCUUGGAACUGCAUUGAUUACUGAUGGACUAGAGUAUCGUAGAGGAGAGCGGAAUUCCAGGUGUAGCGGUGGAAUGCGUAGAUAUCUGGAAGAACACCGACAGCGAAGGCAGCUCUCUGGGCGAAAACUGACUCUGAGGAACGAAAGCGUGGGUAGCAAACAGGAUUAGAUACCCUGGUAGUCCACGCUGCAAACGUUUUAUGCUUGGUCUGAGCGGAUUCAACCCCGUUAAGGGUCGGAGUUAACAUGUUAA
rnacentral:rRNA from 1 species